rnacentral:rRNA from 1 species
UGGGGAAUAUUGCACAAUGGGCGCAAGCCUGAUGCAGCCAUGCCGCGUGUAUGAAGAAGGCCUUCGGGUUGUAAAGUACUUUCAGUCAGGAGGAAGGUGGUAAGGUUAAUAACCUUAUCAAUUGACGUUACCGACAGAAGAAGCACCGGCUAACUCCGUGCCAGCAGCCGCGGUAAUACGGAGGGUGCAAGCGUUAAUCGGAAUUACUGGGCGUAAAGCGCACGCAGGCGGUUUGUUAAGUCAGAUGUGAAAUCCCCGGGCUCAACCUGGGAACUGCAUCUGAUACUGGCAAGCUUGAGUCUCGUAGAGGGGGGUAGAAUUCCAGGUGUAGCGGUGAAAUGCGUAGAGAUCUGGAGGAAUACCGGUGGCGAAGGCGGCCCCCUGGACGAAGACUGACGCUCAGGUGCGAAAGCGUGGGGAGCAAACAGG